GCUGCUUCUAGAGCUGGAAGGCAUUGGGGCUGAAUAGCUACAUCACAUUUAGGGCUCAAGGAAAGGAAAAAAAUCUGCCCAGCUUAACAAACUCAGUGGAAAAUUGGUGAAUUUCUACUUACGAUUACCACAACCUUAUGCAGGAAAAAUACCUUCAGGAAUUAUUUUACUCCUAAAAAAGAAAAGAAAAGACCUACUGCUCCAUAGCUAUUAGAGAGACACAGGUUACUACUUGUUUUGUGUCCCCUUCUGCUCUCUGCUCUUUCACACACUCCUGAAAGUGUUUUCCUCUGUGUCUCUACUGAUGGAGCUUUUCUUUUGUUUUUACUUCUCUGUAGGUGCAGUCCUUUUCCUCAGGAGUGAUAUGACUCUUUCACUAACCACGUUAUAAGGUGACCAUGGUAGUGGGGAGGUGGUGAAGAAUUGUACCACAGGAAUGUCCUUGGGAGUUAGUUGCUCAUGUCUGAGGCCAGUAUGUAAAAUGUCAUCUGUUGUUUCACUGGGUGCUCUGUUGGAGUCACUGAUGCUGAAAUGACUAUACCUUUGUUCCAGUUAAAAAGUUGAAGCAGGAGAAGCCAAGAACAAGGCAUUCUCUUAGAUGGACUCCCCCCCUUCUCAUCCAUAAGUCUCUCUAAGGGAAAAAACUAAAAAAAAAAAGAACAAGAAAAAUGCAAAAAAAUCAGCCUUUCACAAUGACACAUAGCCUGGAAGAAGCUGAGGGAAUUUAAUGUCUGAUUAUGCUGCUCUGGACUGAACUGGAGGGACCCAGGCUUUGCAAAUGCUGCCCUUGAUUCACACAAAGUUAUCAAAUGGUGAAAUACAAGUACCCCAUUCUUUUCCUCUCUGUUGUCACUGUCACAUAGCGAUAUUCCUCCCUUUUCUUGUAACAGCAUCCUACCUAUACCUUUGAAAGAGCUGCCAUGAGUUGUGUCUCUGUAAUGCCCAGGGAGCAAUGGCUCCUAUUCUUCAACCAAAAGCAAAACAAAUUCCCCUUUGUAAAUAAAGUUGAACACACAGUCAUUAUUUCCACCCCUUCUACAUACGUAUUAUAAUGCAAGACGUCACUGUGUGCUAAAUAGUGUUUUCCAAGCCCAAAUACUAGGAUUGCCCAGCUCACCUACCCUCAGCAUAGAAAGGCUAGGUUGUAGGCACCUCUCACUGGCUAUAACUGCAUUAUGCCAUGUGGUGCAAAAUGGCUUCUGCCAGCAGUACUGCAAACUUGCUUUGUCUUAUAGAGAAGCAUUUCUGUAAGAGGUUUGAUGAAUUGUCUUGUAACAUGUGGAUUAAACUAUUGAUUUACCAACAUCCUUUGUAUGUUGACCCAAGAAAACACAGUGGAUGCUAUUUAGAAUAUUACAAACCCUCUGCCAUAUGCAUGUUGUCUAACCUACACUUCAACCCUAUCACCUUUCAGCAGAUUGCUUUAGACAAGAGAUCUCAUGGGCAGGGAAUCUGCAAUGCAUAUAAGCUUACUUGCUCAUUUAAUACAAGAGAGUCCUAGACACUGACCUUGUCUGUAGCUUCCAGCUUGGCAGGGCUGUAGCACCGGGAAGACCUGCAAAUCCCUUUUUAACAAGGCUACCUGAACCCAAUGGCCCAGGUCCAAAGAGAUGAAAACUUGAAGAUGUCCAACAGAUCAGUUGCCUAUAUCGUUAAGUAGAAAAUUGUCUGAUGCCGCACAUACUGGUGUCUGCUUACAUGGUUCAGUACCAGCUCCCAGCAUAACAGCAUGUCUGUUGUCAGCUCCUAAAGCACUAAAUAUAUUGUUACUUCAUUAGUGAACCGUUCAGGGUAUUUUACAUGGUGGGUAUGGAAAUGCAAACAUUUACCCAAGACGUCUCACGAUUUGAACCAAAACCCAUAUUCCAUCAAAAUGGAUUUUUUUUUUAAAUUGUUUGAAAUAUCUAACAGUUUGGCUUUGGGCUGGAAAGCCUAGGAAAAGUCUCCAAGUAAAUGAGAAUGAGUCUCUUUAUCUGUGAUUGCCCCAUGACAUUAUAGGAUGCAAAUGUGUGUAAAUUAAGAAGGUGUUUGGAGAGUGAAUGGGGAAAGGAAGGUGUGCGGCAUCCCAAGCUCGUUUCUGCAGCCCUCCCCAUGAGCCUAGCAAAGAAUAGAGGGGAUCUGGAUAUGGAAGCCCACAUGGUGAGCACCUGGGCACAAUGUGGCAUGCUGAUUUCUUGCAGGAAUUUGCUGCUUCACAAUAGCAACCUUCAUUCAGUUGAGAUCAACGUUUCAAGUAGCUUCAGCAUAAACAGGGCUUGUCCCAUUGUGGUGGAUAUUUCUGAGCUUCUUAAUUGGUUUCAUAACUGUUGUAUGAGCUGUUCCAUGGAAGUGCUACUGUACUUGCACCAACAAGCAAUAUUAAAUUGGAAAAAAAGUAUUAAAGACGCGUUUGGUCUCAGGGAGAAACCAGAUAAUGACUGAGCCUAAACUGCAGUUCAGCAAAACUCUUAUUGAUUAGGGAUUACAGUUUGAUGGAGAAAAAAACAAAGAUCAUUCCCACUUCUGGUUUACCCAGAACAGCAAAGCUCAAGGUAGUGUCAGAUACAAAUGCAUGAGCAAAACUGCUUCACUUUUGUUCUGUCCAUGAAUUGCUUGUGUGUUACAAACUAUAACCAUGUUUUCUUUUGCUGAUCAUAAAGGAGGAAUGACAUGGCAAACUGUAGUAGUUGCAUUUUAAAGCAAUAGCUGAGUAACGUGGCAACAUUGCUUGUCUAUUGUCUAUUGUAUACAUAUUUAAGUAUUUGUGUUCAUGUUUAAGUACUUACAGGACCAGGGACCUCUGCACUGCUCAUAAUUUCCCAUAUAAUAUUUUGUGCUGGCUCAUGCAUGAUGCCACUCAGCUUCUAUGAUGUUAGGUCAAAUGAUGUCAUAUCACAAGAUGUAAUACACCGUGCAAUAUGACAGUCUCUUCAGCUUCUAAACAGAAAGAGACAAGUACUCUUGAAACCUGGAUAUUCUGCUGCAUUGUUAUUUGAAAACUUGGAGUGCCUGUUGACAUAGCAGUCAGUCACAUACUAACACUUCACAUAAAAAUAAUAAAGCACAAAACGUCACCACCCACAAUGGAUACAAUUAAAAUCGUCAUUCUUUUGUUCGCUUUACAUUCAGAUAACUUAAAAACCACACAAGUGAAGUCCCUGAAGAAUCACCGAGAUCUACACCAAAUAAACUCCUCUCAAAUCACCCUCUGAAGCUCAUGGAAGAUGUGCAUCUGUAGGCAUAUCAAAGUGAGGGUUUCCAGACAAAAGCCCUUGCCUAACAAAGCACUGCCUCUGAGCUUGAUAGCUCCAGGACUGACAGCAAGAGCUACUUAGCUACACUUACCUGCGAACGCUGGAGGAGAAAAGUGGCAGAUGUAUAGACAAAGGUGGGGUCCUUCCUAUAGCAGGUUCUGAAAAAAUCAGCAUUAUCACUGACAUAUUGAGAAGUGAUCAGCAAAGGACAGAAAGUGAGUGUGAGAGUGGAAAAUAUGAUCCCUGUGUUUGCAGGAAGCCCCUGACAGGCAGGAAUGGUAGUCGCAUGUGGUUGCUGAUACAAAACCACUGUGUGUAUCUCAACCACACAUAACAAAAGCACCCAAUAAAAGGUGUAAUAGGUGAGGUUUUGUUUGUGGAAUCCUGUUUCUCAGCUGUUUUGUAAUUUAACACAUGCCCAGCAUUGUGGCCUCUAGGCACAGGAAAUGAAACUCAAGAAUGAAAAUCACCAACCUGUGACCAUUUGAGAUUAGAAACACUGCCCAGAAAUUACAUCAAACAUUACCAACAGAAGAAUAAAAUCAGUCAAUCAAACUGUUGCUGGGCAACCAGGAGAUAACUCUCAUCCUAUAGAAGGGAAUUAUACUGCUCCUUUGUCCACUGUUACCAAUAUAAUGAUCUCUGAGCAGGCUCCAGUCUGGCUUUAGCCUUGCAAAUUCUUUUCAUGCACAGAUAUCCUGUACACGAGGACAGACAGGGAGAAUACCAGUGAUGAAAACCACUGUCUGCUAAGUUUUCUGGAAACUAAUGCAAAAGGAUAUUCAAAAGAGAAGUCUAAUGAAAAGAGCUGCUUGCUGUAGUGUAGCUUUCCGGAUCCUUGCUGUUCCCUAGUUAGGAAGAAAAUAAAAUAUUUCUCAGUGUAAGGAGGAAAAGGAUUUUUGAUGGAGAAGGCUGCUUUUUGUCUGGAUUUCAUUCUCUGCUUUUAAGAAUCGGACAGGGUAAAUGAUCUGAUCUCUGUAGGCUGACGGACAAAAAAGAAAAAUUCUACUGAAUCCCAAAUAUCCAUGCUGUACUUCUCAUAAUCACUUGUGAAGUUUUGGUGUGAUAAUCUCUGUCUCUUCUUGAAUGGAUUACCUAAAUACCCUUUGCAAUGGAGAACUCUACCUGGAGAAGCAGAAUGCCUUGUCUCAAAAUAUUGUUCAGAUUUUUAGAUGCUGAAGAUAUUCCUGAAAGAUUAUAAACCUUUUCUUCAAGCAAACCCCAAGUGUGCAUUUCCACCAGCCUUGUUCUUUUCUCGUUGAGAGGUCCUUAUAGAUAAUGUUGGAUGUUCAUCAACCUUUCUGUCCCUAAGAAACAUAAAGAUUCUAAUAAGUUUUUUCUUACUUUACUUCUAUAUAAUUUCUAGUGUUGUUCAAAAUAAUUACUCCUCUCCAUUAACUUCAUAGACAGUUCCUUUGUCUCCUUAUCUUAUUUUUUUUGUUAGGUUUAUGAAUCUUUUAUACCACUGGGAUUUUUAGUGCAUGCAUUUUGCAGCUGUGUUCUCUUCCACCUUCCUUGUAGAACUUGCUGUGACAAUAAAAACAUGGUGGUUUUGUCUCCUGUUCCUCUGUGUGAGCGAUUGGAGCAACUUCUACUAUACAAUUGGCAUCAAUGCUAUUCUGAAAGCUGUAUGUCUGUAUGUCCAUCAUUGUUUGUCCAAGUGAGAAUGAAGUCAAGGUUUGUGUGGUUGAAGGGAACAGCCUAGACGCUAGUGUUCUUGCACGAGAUCAGUUCACAUGGCCCUAGUGCAAUGCUGGCAGGUUUUAUACAGGUAAACCUCCAUUCCUCUAGGAGUUUUUCCAGUUGCAUUGACAAAUGCACCCUGCCACAAAGCCAUUCAGGUCAAGCUUGCACAUUGUGACUGGUUUUGAACUCAAGCCUUUGGUAUUUGAAUGCCUCAACACUAAUCCUGUUUUCAGUUCGGAAAAAAAAAAAAGAAGAGAGAGAAAGAGAAAAAAAAAUUACUAUUUGUUCAUGAUGAUAAUAAAAUCCUAAGUUUUGCUGGUC